AGAGUUUGAUCCUGGCUCAGGACGNACGCUGGCGGCGUGCCUAAGACAUGCAAGUCGAGCGCAGCAUGGGACUUCGGUCUUAUGCUUAGCGGCGGACGGGUGAGUAACACGUGGAUAACCUACCCUCAUCUCUGGGAUAACAGGCCGAAAGGCCUGCUAAUACCGGAUAAGCUCACGGCCUCGCAUGGGGCAGGGAGAAAAGGCGCUGCAAGGCGGUGGAUGAGGAGGGGUCCGCGGCCCAUUAGCUAGUUGGUAGGGUAACGGCCUACCAAGGCGACGAUGGGUAGCCGGCCUGAGAGGGCGACCGGCCACACUGGGACUGAGACACGGCCCAGACUCCUACGGGAGGCAGCAGUCGGGAAUUUUGCACAAUGGGCGAAAGCCUGAUGCAGCAACGCCGCGUGAGCGAAGAAGGCCUUCGGGUUGUAAAGCUCUGUUGCCUGUGACGAAGGACCGGAUCAGGAA
rnacentral:rRNA from 1 species